UUGCUUCCCCGGCACAUAUACUAAAAUAGGACAAAGCAGAAAAGCUUACCAUGGCCCUCAUGCAAGGAUGGCAUGCAACUCUGAAGAAUUCCAUAUUUAA
rnacentral:snRNA from 1 species